UUACCGGAGCUGAUGGAGGUGGAGCACACCACGUAGCCAGAGAAGCGAUGAGGCAGUGAGACACAAAGAACUAGGCGACCGUGACUAGGCCGCGACGUCGCAGAAUGGAGUAGCCAUGGAGUGAAGAGUCCCAACACUAGUCUCCCAAGUUUUUGAGGUGAAAAAAUACGUUUUGCCCAAGUUUGACGUGACCGUAAACGCACCACAGACCUACAGCGUUGCAGUUAUGGGACUGAAAGUUGAGUCCUGUGCCAAAUGAAUGCCACGGGCUGUGCCUCUCUUACUGUUGAUGCGUCAGUGUUUUUCAACACCAAAUUUGAAGACCAAAUUCAAGACGCAUUUCUUGUGAAUGUUACUGAGGAGGGAACAGAUGUAAUGGUCAAAAUCUGCAAUGGUGUCCUUGACAAACAAAGCUGUAUAUCUCUUGGAGGGGAGCAACUGGCCCAACAAACUGCUGUAGAAUCGAACCACAAACAAGAAUGGACGGGCCGCGUUCUCCCUAAACACUGCUAAUCUUAAGGCUGAUCUGAAUCUGAUGACGAGUGCUGAUCCAUCGUUAUAAAUCGCCAUACUUCACUACAGAUACAAGUGACCGUGGAGUAUUCAUUUGUUGGAGAGGCUGGUAGCUACAGCGCUGAUAAUCUAUAUGGUCUUAUCCAAAGGAGUGAUCAUCCUCCAUGGAUUUCAGACGGUUAAAGCAAAGGCUGGUGAUGCAGUCACAAACGGCUCUGUGACGUUCCAGUUGUCCGUCAGCGUCGAUAUGACUCCAGCAGUGCAGAUUCUGGUCCACAGCGUGGACAUUCUCCCAGUGAGAAUGCAGUUGCUGCUAGUGUGCCGUUUGACACCGAUAUGUGUUUCCAGAACCAGGUACUGUAUGAUGUGGUUAUUUUUCAAUUUGGGAGUG